rnacentral:rRNA from 1 species
AUUGAACGCUGGCGGCAUGCCUUACACAUGCAAGUCGAACGGUAACAGGUCUUCGGAUGCUGACGAGUGGCGAACGGGUGAGUAAUACAUCGGAACGUGCCCGAUCGUGGGGGAUAACGAAGCGAAAGCUUUGCUAAUACCGCAUACGAUCUACGGAUGAAAGCAGGGGACCGCAAGGCCUUGCGCGAACGGAGCGGCCGAUGGCAGAUUAGGUAGUUGGUGGGGUAAAAGCUUACCAAGCCGACGAUCUGUAGCUGGUCUGAGAGGACGACCAGCCACACUGGGACUGAGACACGGCCCAGACUCCUACGGGAGGCAGCAGUGGGGAAUUUUGGACAAUGGGCGAAAGCCUGAUCCAGCCAUCCCGCGUGCAGGAUGAAGGCCUUCGGGUUGUAAACUGCUUUUGUACGGAACGAAAAGACUCUGGUUAAUACCUGGGGUCCAUGACGGUACCGUAAGAAUAAGCACCGGCUAACUACGUGCCAGCAGCCGCGGUAA